rnacentral:rRNA from 1 species
GAAGGGUGCAAGCGUUACUCGGAAUUACUGGGCGUAAAGCGUGCGUAGGUGGUGAGUUAAGUCUGAUGUGAAAUCCCCGGGCUCAACCUGGGAAUGGCAUUGGAUACUGGCUCGCUGGAGUGCGGUAGAGGGUGGUGGAAUUCCCGGUGUAGCAGUGAAAUGCGUAGAGAUCGGGAGGAACAUCUGUGGCGAAGGCGGCCACCUGGACCAGCACUGACACUGAGGCACGAAAGCGUGGGGAGCAAACAGGAUUAGAUACCCUGGUAGUCCACGCCCUAAACGAUGCGAACUGGAUGUUGGGGGGAACUUGCCCUUCAGUAUCGAAGCUAACGCGUUAAGUUCGCCGCCUGGGGAGUACGGUCGCAAGACUG